rnacentral:rRNA from 1 species
UAACACAUGCAAGUCGAGCGGUAACAGGUGUAGCAAUACAUGCUGACGAGCGGCGGACGGGUGAGUAACGCUUGGGAAUCUGCCUGCUAGUGGGGGACAACCCGGGGAAACUCGGGCUAAUACCGCAUACGCACUACGGUGGAAAGCCGGGGACCGCAAGGCCUGGCGCUAACAGAUGAGCCCAAGUCGGAUUAGCUAGUUGGUAGGGUAACGGCCUACCAAGGCGACGAUCCGUAACUGGUCUGAGAGGACGACCAGUCACACCGGAACUGAGACACGGUCCGGACUCCUACGGGAGGCAGCAGUGGGGAAUAUUGGACAAUGGGCGAAAGCCUGAUCCAGCGACGCCGCGUGGGUGAAGAAGGCCUGCGGGUCGUAAAGCCCUUUCGGUGGGGAAGAAAAGCCUCGAGCUAAUACCUCGGGGUCUUGACGUAAUCCAUAGAAGAAGCACCGGCUAACUCUGUGCCAGCAGCCGCGGUAAUACAGAGGGUGCGAGCGUUAAUCGGAAUUACUGGGCGUAAAGCGCGCGUAGGCGGCUUUGCAAGUCGGGUGUGAAAUCCCCAGGCUUAACCUGGGAACUGCAUUCGAGACUGCAUUGCUAGAGUAUGGGAGAGGGAAGUGGAAUUUCCGGUGUAGCGGUGAAAUGCGUAGAUAUCGGAAGGAACAUCAGUGGCGAAAGCGACUUCCUGGACCAAUACUGACGCUCAUGUGCGAAAGCGUGGGGAGCAAACAGGAUUAGAUACCCUGGUAGUCCACGCUGUAAACGAUGGGCACUAGGUGUCCGGGGUAUUGACCCCCUGGGUGCCGCAGCUAACGCAUUAAGUGCCCCGCCUGGGGAGUACGGUCGCAAGAUUAAAACUCAAAGGAAUUGACGGGGGCCCGCACAAGCGGUGGAGCAUGUGGUUCAAUUCGACGCAACGCGAAGAACCUUACCUGGGCUAGACAACGGCGGACCGUCCUAGAAAUAGGAUCUUCCCUUCGGGGACUGCCGGUUCAGGUGCUACAUGGCUGUCGUCAGCUCGUGCCGUGAGGUGUUGGGUUAAGUCCCGCAACGAGCGCAACCCUCGUCCUUAGUUGCCACCAUUCAGUUGGGCACUCUAGGGAGACUGCCGGCGUUAAGCCGGAGGAAGGUGGGGACGACGUCAAGUCAUCAUGGCCCUUAUGUCCAGGGCCACACACGUGCUACAAUGGGCGGUACAAAGGGUCGCAAACCCGCGAGGGGGAGCCAAUCCCAAAAAGCCGCUCUCAGUUCGGAUUGGAGUCUGCAACUCGACUCCAUGAAGUUGGAAUCGCUAGUAAUCGCGGAUCAGCACGCCGCGGUGAUACGUUCCCGGCAUCACACACCGC